GUAUUAUAUUAUCAUAUAAAAUGGCUAAUAACAAUAAUAACUAAUUGAACACAUAUAGUACAAUCUAUUAUUUAAAAUUGUUUAAGAGGUUAUUUUUAUGGUAACUGGACUAUUACUAGACCUGGACUGCUCCUUACAAAAUCAAAUUACCAAUACUUUAACCAGCUGUUUACAUCUGAUUACAAAUAAGAUGGGGAGUUUAGUAAAACCCCUUACUUAUAAAAUUGGAUCAAGUUUGAUCUUAUUUGCCAUUGUUUUAGCAAUAAUUGGAAUACCAACGCCAGCCUGGAACAAGUUUCAACGUGGACUAUUUAUAAAAUGUGAUGGACCUGGGACAUUUGAAAGCUGCAAGACAAUCCCUAAAGAGGAUCAUUCUGAUUGGGAGUAUGCUGUUAUUGUACUAGCAGUUAUUGGUUUCAUAUUAAUGUUUAUUGCAUCUAUAACCCCAUGCUGUUGUCAUCAGAGAUCACCUGCAAUUUUAAGCAGUGUAUUUGGAGGUGUAGGUUUGAUAAUAAGUUUUGCAGUAUACUUUCAGAAAACAACCAAUGGCAAUGUCUUUUGGGCCUGUUAUCUUACACUGAUAAGCGGUAUAAUCAGUUUUAUCGGAGGAAUAUUCCUGCUACCCGGCAAAAAUUACAGGAAUUAUAGUGUAUAGAUAUACAGUGGCAUAAUUUGUUUCACUGGGAGUUGAUUGUUGAUAUUAGAUCGACGUUUUAGCUACUGAGGUAAUAAAUACAGUUGCUAAUAGAAGAACUAAAGUCUAUGGUUAGACACCUCAGUGGUUGCAAUGUCUUAUGUAAACAUUCAUUCAAAAGUAUAUAUGUUACACAAGACACAAAAAAUGUUCAUGUCACAGCAAUCACGCUGUUCGGAAGAUUGGGUUUAUUGUGAUUCCUCUGGCGUUUACUAGUUUCGAAAUUAUAAUGAAAAGACAGCGUCUGAUAAGACUGGACAUACUCAGUUAUAUGUCCUGCCCAUCAUAAAGUUUAUAAAAUCAUUUGUUCACAAUUUAUUCUUAGUAAAAUUCUAAUGUAUAAGUUAUAAUGCAGUAUUUCAAAAUAUUAAAUUUUCCACUAGCCCACCAAGCUUAAUUAUUUCUGUCCUAGCUGAAAACACUUCAUAUUGUGAUUAUAUUUGUAUUGGUGUAAUCUGUGUAGCCAAAAACAUUUAAAUAUAAAAUAGCCAUUGGUCAAUCUUGGGCAGUCCUUUCCAUUCAUUGGUCAAUGCUGACGCAUGUCUCUGUAUUAAUUGGUCAAUGCUAAGAUGGGUUCUUUCAUUGAUUGGUCCUUGAUUGGUUAAUGCUAAGACGGGUCCCUGCAUUGAUUAGUCAAUCCUAAGAUGGGUCCUUUCCUUGAUUUGUCAAUAUUAAAGCAGAUAUAUUCAUUGACUGGUUAAUACUAAGAUAGGUUCCUUCGUUGAUUGGUCCUCUCAUUAAUUGGUCAAUAUUAGUUUAGUUACCCAGUACUUUAUCUCUUGGUUUUUUAUAUGGUAUAAUAUAUUAAUACAAUAUCCAUAUUAAUA